rnacentral:rRNA from 1 species
AGAGUUUGAUCAUGGCUCAGAUUGAACGCUGGCGGAAUGCUUUACACAUGCAAGUCGAACGGCAGCACGGGAGCUUGCUCCUGGUGGCGAGUGGCGAACGGGUGAGUAAUGCGUCGGAACGUACCGAGUAMUGGGGGAUAACGCAGCGAAAGYUGUGCUAAURCCGCAUWCGCCCUGAGGGGGAAAGUGSGGGACCGCAAGGCCUCACSUUAUUCGAGCGKCCGACGUCUGWUUAGCUAGUUGGGGGGGUAAUGGCCCWCCAAGGCGACGAUCAGUAGCKGGUCUGAGAGGAUGAUCCGCCACACWGGGASUGAGWCACGGCCCAGACUCCUACGGGAGGCRGCAGUGGGGAAUUUUGGACAAUGGGGGCAACCCUGAUCCAGSCAUUCCGCSUGAGUGAMGAAGGCCUUCGGGYUGUAAAGCUCUUUCAGCUGGAACGAAACGGUACGCUCUAACAUAGCSUGCUAAUGACGGUACCAGCAGAAGAAGCACCGGCUAACUACGUGCCMGCAGGCGCGGUAAUAC